GCCAUCUAAGACCCUAAUCACAGAGCAGGAACCCAGGCAUAUCUGAAAAGAUUGGCUUGACAUCCCAGUAAACACGCUAUCUCUCUCUCUCUCUCCUCUCUCUCUCUCUCUCUCUCCACCAUCAAGCCAGGAUGAGGUCGUUGUACAAGAUGCUACUAUUUUCGCUUGCCCUUGUUGCGCUGCUAUCCUCAGAUCUGAUGAUCCAGGCGACGGCUAAUGGUGGCGGCUCGCUAAUCCCUGAAGACUGCCGGCAGACCCCUGUCAUCCGUGGGCCGUGUAACCCCAAGGCUUGUCAACACAACUGUCAAACCAACGUCGGCCCCGGUGCCGUUGGCGAUUGUGAUGCCGGUGGAUGCCGGUGCACAUACUGUACUCCAUCUCAGUGGAAUUAAGCAGUGAUUGUUGCUUAAUUGCUCUCCGAUAGUAUGCGAAAUCUUAGUUUUUUUUCUGUCUGGCUACCUGUCAAAUACUCCUACUUGGAAACUCAAAUCAGGAAUGUCAGAAAUUUGAUCGAUUCGAGGGGCAGUUGCCUUAUUAGCA